rnacentral:lncRNA from 1 species
UGCUUCUUGAUGCUUCAUGUGCUGCAUGCAGGCCAACUUCAACAAGAACACGGUACUAAGCACCGACUUGGACUGCGAUGGUGUCCUCGGCAAUUUCAGUCCCUAUUCGAUUUUGUUAUUCAAAUUAUUCGAAUUGUAAAAUUCAACUCGAACUCAUAACUCGAAAUUUUUUCGAAUAGAAUUUUACAAAAAGACACUGAGAAUUGAUUCCAUUGAAUUAAUAAUUGUAUAGAGCGUCAUCAACUCUGUUUCGAGAUGGCCAAC